UAGCACAUUCGGAAGAUAAAACAGCAGGCAAAGUGAGCAUUGGAGGAUUGGCAUUUUCUCCCCUAAUAGGAAAAGAAACAACACCAGGACAAUUAGAAUAACAGAAAGUGGGAUUUUCAAAAUCGAGGUAUGUUUCAAGAGAGAAGCAAAGGUCAGACUGUGAUUCAAGCAAGGGUAAGGUAAAGGGAUUGGAAUAGUGAAGGGUAUGGGGGUAUUUGAGGUGCUGUAUUAGGGUUUGAAUGUAAUCGGCUGAUGAAGAGGAAAUGGGUGGGCAAUGAAGAGAGUGAGAGAAGAGGGAAGAAAGGGGAAGACGAUGGUUGGAAUUGAAAGGGCAUGGGAUUAGAGCUGAAGAAGGAGAGGGAGCAACAAGGGGUAUAGGAAGAAGAGAGGAGAGAGAGUUGAGAGUAGUUGAAGAGAGGUUGAGGAGAGAUGUAAGGGAUGAGAGAGCACUAGGAAGAUCAUAUGCCAGAGCGCUGGUUGGAGUAGGGUGGUGGAAGUAAGAUGGUGGCGGUCGCGGAAAGGUGGAGGCCGGUGGCGGGGGAAAGGCGGAGGCCGGUGGCAGCGGUAGCGGUAGCGGCGGCGGCGGAAAUGGAUUCAUUUCGUCCUUAAUGGUCGGCCGAUA
rnacentral:misc_RNA from 1 species